rnacentral:rRNA from 1 species
GACGAACGCUGGCGGCGUGCUUAACACAUGCAAGUCGAACGGUGACGAGGAGCUUGCUCCUCUGAUCAGUGGCGAACGGGUGAGUAACACGUGAGCAACCUGCCCCAGACUCUGGGAUAACAGUUGGAAACAGCUGCUAAUACCGGAUACGAGACGGAGAGGCAUCUCUACCGUCUGGAAAGUUUUUCGGUCUGGGAUGGACUCGCGGCCUAUCAGCUAGUUGGUGAGGUAAUGGCUCACCAAGGCGACGACGGGUAGCCGGCCUGAGAGGGCGACCGGCCACACUGGGACUGAGACACGGCCCAGACUCCUACGGGAGGCAGCAGUGGGGAAUAUUGCACAAUGGGCGAAAGCCUGAUGCAGCGACGCCGCGUGAGGGAUGAAGGCCUUCGGGUGUAAAGCUCUGUCGGGAGGGACGAAGGGGAAACCCGUGACGGUACCUCGCAAG